rnacentral:rRNA from 1 species
AACGGCGAGUGAAGCGGCAACAGCUCAAAUUGAAAUCUGGCCUCACGGUCCGAGUUGUAAUUUGUAGAGGAUGUUUCGAGCAUGGUCCGGCCUAAGUGUCUUGGAACAGGACGUCAUAGAGGGUGAGAACCCCGUAUGCGGUCGGGUGCCUACGCUCAUGUGAAACUCCUUCGACGAGUCGAGUUGUUUGGGAAUGCAGCUCAAAAUGGGUGGUAAAUUUCAUCUAAAGCUAAAUAUUGGCCAGAGACCGAUAGCGCACAAGUAGAGUGAUCGAAAGAUGAAAAGCACUUUGGAAAGAGAGUUAAACAGUACGUGAAAUUGUUGAAAGGGAAGCGCUUGCAACCAGACUUGGGCGCGGCCGAUCAUCCGGUGUUCUCACCGGUGCACUCGGUCGCGUGCAGGCCAGCAUCGGUUCUGGUGGCUGGAUAAAGGCCCUAGGAAUGUGGCUCCUCUCGGGGAGUGUUAUAGCCUAGGGUGCAAUGCAGCCUACCGGGACCGAGGACCGCGCUUCGGCUAGGAUGCUGGCGUAAUGGUUGUAAGUGACCCGUCUUGAAACACGGACCAAGGAGUCUAACAUCUAUGCGAGUGUUUGGGUGUCAAACCCAUACGCGUAAUGAAAGUGAACGGAGGUGAGAACCCUUAAGGGUGCAUCAUCGACCGAUCCUGAUGUCUUCGGAUGGAUUUGAGUAUGAGCAUAGCUGUUGGGACCCGAAAGAUGGUGAACUAUGCCUGACUAGGGUGAAGCCAGAGGAAACUCUGGUGGAGGCUCGCAGCGGUUCUGACGUGCAAAUCGAUCGUCAAAUUU